rnacentral:rRNA from 1 species
AAUACCGCAUAAAAUAUCGGAGUCGCAUGGCACUGAUAUCAAAGGAGCAAUCCGCUGAAAGAUGGGCUCGCGUCCGAUUAGGCAGUUGGCGGGGUAACGGCCCACCAAACCGACAAUCGGUAGCCGGACUGAGAGGUUGAACGGCCACAUUGGGACUGAGACACGGCCCAGACUCCUACGGGAGGCAGCAGUGGGGGAUAUUGCACAAUGGGGGAAACCCUGAUGCAGCGAUGCCGCGUGAAUGAAGACGGCCUUCGGGUUGUAAAGUUCUGUCGCAGGGGACGAAAAUGACGGUACCCUGCAAGAAGGCUCCGGCUAACUACGUGCCAGCAGCCGCGGUAAUACGUAGGGAGCAAGCGUUGUCCGGAAUUACUGGGUGUAAAGGGAGCGUAGGCGGGAGGAUAAGUUGAAUGUGAAAUCUAUGGGCUCAACCCAUAAGCUGCGUUCAAAACUGUUCUUCUUGAGUGAAGUAGAGGCAGGCGGAAUUCCUAGUGUAGCGGUGAAAUGCGUAGAUAUUAGGAGGAACACCAGUGGCGAAGGCGGCCUGCUGGGCUUUUACUGACGCUGAGGCUCGAAAGCGUGGGUAGCAAACAGGAUUAGAUACCCUGGUAGUCCACGCGGUAAACGAUGAAUAGUAGGUGUGGGUGGACUGACCCCAUCCGUGCCGGAG